AAUCUUGCGCAAUGGGCGAAAGCCUGACGCAGCCAUGCCGCGUGAAUGAUGAAGGUCUUAGGAUUGUAAAAUCCUUUCCCCGGGGACGAUAAUGAUGGUACCCGGAGCAGAAGCCCCGGCUAACAUCGUGCAAGCAGCCGCGGUAAUACGAAGGGGGCUAGCGUUGCUCGGAAUUACUGGGCUGAAAGGGCGCGUAGGCGGACAUUUAAGUCAGGGGUGAAAUCCCAGAGCUCAACUCUGGAACUGCCUUUGAUACUGGGUGUCGUGAGUGUGAGAGAGGUAUGUGGAACUCCGAGUGUAGAGGUGAAAUUCGUAGAUAUUCGGAAGAACACCAGUGGCGAAGGCGACAUACUGGCUCAUUACUGACGCUGAGGCGCGAAAGCGUGGGGAGCAAACA
rnacentral:rRNA from 1 species